rnacentral:tRNA from 1 species
GGGGGUAUAGCUCAGCUGGUUAGAGCACCGGCUUUGCAAGCCGGGGGGCCGGGGUUCGAGUCCCCGUACUUCCA